rnacentral:rRNA from 1 species
GGGAAGAGCCCAGCACCGAAUCCCUCGGCCUGUCGCCGACGGGAACUGUGGUGUGUGGGACGCCAACUGUCCGCGGUGCCGGCAGCCGAAGUCCCCCUGAUCGGGGCCUCUCCCAGAGUGGGUGUCAGGCCUUUGCCGGCUUGCUCGGUCCGCGGGCUGCGAGCGUCUCAGGAGUCGGGUUGUUUGGGAAUGCAGCCCAAAGUGGGUGGUAAACUCCAUCUAAG